UGCACCAAGGUUUGAGCACAAGGACAGAACAAGUGGAACACAGCACCCGUGAGUGUCGUUUGGACUGUUGUCGGAGCUAGGAACACCAUUAUUGUAGCAUGCCCCGGGCCGUGAGUGUGUAAAGUCCUCCAGCAAGGCUCUUUUAAAUUUAUCUUCUCCCUCCAUGUAACAUAGAAUUAAUCUAUCCAACCCCCGGUUUUUCAAACGCACGCCGCACUCCUGACGUGGCGAACCCGGUCCGGAGCCACAUCACGGUUUAACCAAUUUCAAAUCGAUCGCACAAUCGAGCUUCAUUCCAUCUUCACAGCCAGGGCUCUUCUCCCUUAGACCUCCUCCCUCCUCCCUCUAAAGACGCCAUCCUUCUUCUCUGUCUGUCCUCUCCUUUUUUCAACUCCUCCCUCUCACUCGACUCUCAUUCCUCUUCUCUCUCACCCCUUCUUUCUCACCCCGACGCAAUCCCGAACCCUAGAAAAACUCAUCUCCCUCUUUAACCACUAAAUCGAACCGGAUCUCUCACCCCUUUCAUUCUCUCUCACCCUUUCACUCUCUCUCACCCCUUAUCUCCUUCAGCCCCAAGCCGCUGGACCGAGUUAGUCCUGAAGUGGUGGUUCUGUAGGUUCGAGCAAAGCACAAGAAAGUUUGUCUUCACAAAGACAGUCCUUUGGGAGAAACAGUCCUUGAAUGCUACAAUUAUGGUUGUCGCAAUGUGUUCUUGCUUGGAUUUGUUUCAGCAAAGACAGAGAGUGUAGUGGUUCUUCUUUGUAGAGAGCCUUGUUUAAGUGUUAAUGCAUUGAAGGACAUGAAUUGGGACCUGAGUCAGUGGUGCCCCCUGAUUGAUGAUCAUUGUUUUCUGCAAUGGCUUGUCAAGAUCCCAUCUGAACAAGAGCAGUUGAGGGCACGCCAGAUCAAUGCUCAAUAGAUAAACAAGGUAGAAGAACUUUGGAAGACAAAUCCUGAGGCUUCCCUUGAGGAUCUUGAAAAGCCCAGUGUGGAUCAUGAUGAACCUCAGCUUGUAGCCUUGAAGUAUGAAGAUGCAUAUUAGGUGCCCAAGCUUGCAUUAUUGCUAAUAACAUUAUUGGUUAGCAACAUGUGAGGGUUGUGAUGGAAAUUACAGUUUACAUGUAAAGGUUGUGAAGAUUUUUUGCAGUGAUUUUUGGAGUUGGCAAUAUUUUUGGAUUUGAAAUGUGGCAGGGAAAUGUUAAUAUUUUUUUUCCUAUAUGCUAAUCUUGUAAUAAUUUUUGGUUGGUUUCGAACAAUAGAAUGUAUGGGGAUAGUUUUGUGUUAAAUAGAUUGUUCGGAUCAUCCUUUGUAAUAAUUUUUUUUUUGUUUUUUUAUUCGGACUAUAGUUUUUGCUGGAACCAAAUGUGAAAAAUCUGUACUCGAGUAUGUUCUUGAGAAUUGAAAUGUGAAUUUUUCAUAUUCAAUUUUA